AUAAUUGGCUGUGUCACGUGGAACCUCUUAGCCUAAUAUCCGGAGCUCCAGGAAGGGAAAAAUUUCAAUUCAGAUAGAAUUACAUAUACACCAUUUCUUUGGAGCCUUCAGCCCUCCAGAUCCCAACAUCAUGACUUCAGUUUCAACACAAUUGCUGUUAGUCCUCAUUUCACUGCUUUUGGUGCUGCCUGUUGUUGAAGCAGUGGAAGCUGGAGAUGCAAUUGCUCUUUUGUUAGGCGUGGUUCUCAGCAUUACGGGCAUUUGUGCUUGCUUGGGGAUAUAUGCACGGAAGAGAAAUGGACAGAUGUGACUUUGAAAGACCUCCUGAAUCAAACCUUGCCCUAAAAACCUUUGUGCUGUUGAGGCUAAACCCGAGCUUUGAUGUCUGAAAGUUUCCAAGAAACAAUAAAUAGGGGAGUUUCAUAUUCUUUGUUGUUUCCCUUAAAAUGGGAACAACUUGAUAUAUAAAU